AGCAGUUGUAACUUUCCAUACGAGUUCUGGGAAUUAAGCCCUUUAUCCGACCCCACCUCACCCUUGUUUUGUUGUUUGUUUUUUAAACAAUAUUUCACUAAGAAGCCCAGGCCGGCCUUCCACUCAUAAUCUUCUUGCCUAGCCUACAGAGCAGUUGGUAUAGGUGUGUGCUGCUGCAAUGCUCAGCCCAUGUGUAUAUAGUACUAGGAACUCAGCCAAAGCCUUCUGUACCCCAGGGACGUGUGCUGCCACAGAGCUAUCCCAAGACCCCUUCAUUUGCUAAAAAAACAGGCAGCCUUUAUUUAGACUUGCACUUUGGGGGGUUAUACAUGUUUGAAAAUAAAGAGAAAAAGGUUUGCCUAGAUCAGAGUGAGACACAUUCUCAAAUAUCGGCUGUGAAAUAGUACCUGAAUGGAGCGGAUAUUUCUGCUAUUGUAAAGACAUGUGGUGUACUUGAAGCCUGUUCAGUGAAGUGCCCACCCCCUGAAUAGGUCUUUGGGGAAUGUGUUCUGGCCUCUUUCCUCUAUUAUGGACAUGAGAGAAGAGCAUAGGCUCAGCUCCCCAACUCCUGGCCAUAGUCUCUUCUGGCUGCUUUAGGUUCCUCGAGGCAGAGUUGUCUGCUGUAUCCAGGCUUAGCUCCUCUGAAGGGAAAGGUAUAUUCUCUUUCCGGCCCUUCUGCUAUUGAGUUUCUGAGAUUAGUUCUUUUAUAAAGGAGCUCUAGUGUCAGAAGGGCAAGGGCAGCACGGGAUGGGGACAGCAUCUGCCUCCAAAAGUAUUCCUUUCUCCCCCUGUCCUCCAGGUAAAUUUGAGCCACCACUGUUUCAUCCAAACGUGUAUCCUUCUGGCACAGUGUGCCUGUCCAUCCUGGAGGAAGACAAGGACUGGCGGCCAGCUAUUACGAUCAAACAGAUCUUAUUAGGAAUACAAGAACUUCUAAAUGAACCAAAUAUUCAAGACCCAGCUCAAGCAGAGGCCUAUACAAUUUACUGGUUAGUAGCAACUCCAGCUGGCUAACCUUCCUUCCCUGGAAGUAC
rnacentral:lncRNA from 1 species